rnacentral:rRNA from 1 species
UGUAGGUCAAGCUACUAAGGGCGCGCGGUGGAUGCCUUGGUAUCACGGGCCGAAGAAGGGCGUGGCAAGACUGCGAUAAGCCUCGGUCAGCCGUCUAACAGGCGUAGCCGGGGAUUCCCGAAUGAGGCAACUCACCCGGAGUCAUGUCCGGGUACCGCGGAUUGAACACAUAGAUCCGACGGAGGGAACCCGGGGAACUGAACCAUCUCAGUACCCGGAGGAAAAGAAAGCAUUCCGUCAGUAGCGGCGAGCGAACGCGGAAGAGCCCAAACCACAGGUGACUUAACGGCCGGCAGGCCUAUGCAUCGGUGGGGUUGUACGACUCGGCGGCGGAUUCUGCCGGAUCCGCAGGGAGUGACAAAGCACCGUCGUAACCGAAGGACCCUGGAAUGGGCCACCAGAGCGGGUGACAGUCCCGUAGGUGAAACGAUGGGUGCCUCCCGCUGAUGUUCGUGAGUACCACGGGACACGAGAAAUCCCGUGGGAAGCCAGGCAGACCACUGUCUAAGGCUAAAUACCCGUGAUGACCGAUAGUGAACCAGUACCGUGAGGGAAAGGUGAAAAGCACCCCGGGAGGGGAAUGAAAUAGUCCCUGAAACCGCGUGCCUACAAGCAGUCGGAGCCCGUUUCGGCGGGUGACGGCGUGCCUAUUGAAGAAUGAGCCAACGAGUUACUUUCAGUAGCAAGGUUAAGUCAGGGGACUGACGGAGAUCUAUCCAUGGCCAGGGUGAAGCGAGAGUGAUGUCUCGUGGAGGCCCGAACCUUCUAGCGUUGCAAAGCUAUUGGAUGAGCUGUGGAUAGCGGUGAAAUGCCAAGCGAACCCGGAGAUAGCUGGUUCUCCUCGAAAUGCAUUUAGGUGCAGCCUCGGAGAGUAUCCAUCGGAGGUAGAGCUCUGAAUGGGCUAGGGGGUUAAUCGCCUACCAAACCCAAUCAAACUGCGAAUGCCGGUGGAAGAAUCCCGGGAGUGAGUCCGCGGGAGCUAAGUUUCGCGGUCGAGAGGGAAACAACCCAGACCACCAGCUAAGGCCCCUAAGUUCUGGCUAAGUGUCAAAGGAUGUUGAGUUGCAGAAACAACCAGGAUGUUGGCUUAGAAGCAGCCACCAUUUAAAGAGUGCGUAAUAGCUCACUGGUCGAGUGACUCUGCGCCGACAAUUCACCGGGGCUCAAGCCUGGUGCCGAAGCCAUGGCUUUCUGACUUUAGUCAGAAGGGGUAGGGGAGCGUUCCGUUCAGCAGUGAAGGUCAGAGGGUAACCUCGGCUGGAGCGUUCGGAAGUGCGAAUGCCGGUAUGAGUAGCGUAAGACUGACGAGAAAUCAGUCCACCGUAUGCCCAAGGUUUCCUACGGAAGGUUAAUCCGCGUAGGGUUAGUCGGGCCUAAGCCGAGAGCGAUAGCUGUAGGCGAUGGACAGCUGGUUAGUAUUCCAGCACCACGUGCGAAGCGUUUUAAGGUAAAGGCGUGACCCGGGAAGAUAGGUGGAGCGGGCCCAUUGGACAUGGUCCGUCCCUGGUGCGUAGGCGUCCGGUGGUAGGCAAAUCCGCCGCCGGGUUAAGCGGAGGCAUCGGGGGAAGCGGCGACUUCGGUCAAAGCGACUGCACUGAGUCCACGCCGGCAAGAAAAGCGUCGUUGCUAGCGUCGCACGUGCCCGUACCGCAAACCGACACUGGUAGGUGGGGGUAAGUACCCCGAGGUGAUCGAGAGAACCCUCGUUAAGGAACUCGGCAAUUUAGCUCCGUAACUUCGGGAG